UGGAUAUGUUAACAGAAAAAGAAAAUAUUUGUGAUAAUCUUAUUGAAAUUUCAGCAUCUGAAUAUACAGUUACAUCAGAAGAGUCAGGAAGUCAAAAUUAUUUAUCCCAGUCACAACAAUCAGUCAGAAGUUAUGAACGUGGCAGCUACUUGACAUCUUUGAAUGAUUUCCUGUCAUCAGUCAGAUUGCAGGAAUUCUCAGAAAAAGAAAGAAAAACAUGGCAGUCCUACACAUUUAAAACAAGAAACACCUACAAAGAAAGAAUUGAUGAGAUUAUGAAAUUGAUAAUAGGAAUUUUAUUUCCAAACGAUGUUGACGAAGUAAUUGAAGAUAUAAAAUGUCCCAAGCAGUUAAAUGAAGAAAACAGAACCGAUCAUACAGAGUACAAAGAUAUUGUAACUUCAUACAGAAAA